ACAUAUCCAACCUGCCGUCUACUCUUGGACAGCCUUCUGAAAGGAAGAUUAAUACAAGAUGGCAUCAUGAGUUCACAUGUUCACAUGAUUAAAGGUAUUCCGGUAGACGAUGGGGAUGCGUUCCAUUAGAUAGUAGGCGGGGUAACGGCCCACCUAGUCUUCGAUGGAUAGGGGUUCUGAGAGGAAGGUCCCCCACAUUGGAACUGAGACACGGUCCAA
rnacentral:rRNA from 1 species